UACGUAGGGUGCGAGCGUUGUCCGGAAUUAUUGGGCGUAAAGGGCUCGUAGGCGGUCUGUCACGUCAGGAGUGAAAACUCGGGGCUCAACCCCGAGCCUGCUUCUGAUACGGGCAGACUGGAGGUAUGCAGGGGAGAACGGAAUUCCUGGUGUAGCGGUGAAAUGCGCAGAUAUCAGGAGGAACACCGGUGGCGAAGGCGGUUCUCUGGGACGGUACUGACGCUGAGACGCGAAAGCGUGGGGAGCGAACAGG
rnacentral:rRNA from 1 species